GAUGAACGCUAGCGGCAGGCUUAAUACAUGCAAGUCGAACGGUAUUGAGAAGCUUGCUUUUCAUGAGAGUGGCGCACGGGUGCGUAACACGUAUGCAACCUGCCUUGUCCAGGGGGAUAGCCCGUUGAAAGACGGAUUAAGACCGCAUAACAUCAUUGAAUGGCAUCGUUUAAUGAUCAAAUAUUAUAGGGACAAGAUGGGCCUGCGUCUGAUUAGCUAGUUGGCGGGGUAAUGGCCCACCAAGGCGACGAUCAGUAGGGGAUCUGAGAGGAUGACCCCCCACACUGGUACUGGGACACGGACCAGACUCCUACGGGAGGCAGCAGUAAGGAAUAUUGGUCAAUGGGCGCAAGCCUGAACCAGCCAUGCCGCGUGCAGGAAGACGGCCCUACGGGUUGUAAACUGCUUUUAUACGGGAAUAACCCCGGUUUCGUGAAACCGGCUGAAUGUACCGUAAGAAUAAGGAUCGGCUAACUCCGUGCCAGCCGCCGCCGUAA
rnacentral:rRNA from 1 species